AUGUUAUUGGCACUACCCUGGAAAGAAGUGGGAGUCAUAGUUGCUGUUCCUGUUGUGCUUGACAGCUAUGUCAAUGUUGCAAGUCUUUGGCUAUGUAAUAAGAAAAGAGGCUUUAGCUUACAUGAUUUCUUGUGGAUUAAUGUGGAGUUGUGGACCACUUGGAAACUGAGAAAUGACGUAUUCUUUGGCUGUGCAGUUUGGUCCGGUUUGCAGAUGAUGCGGCAGCGCCUGUUGCACUUGCUCAAAAGAGUGGUGGAGCGGACACUCUGCCGGAAGAAAAGAUAUCCUGAUGCUGGACAAAUGCAUCCAAGGCGAGGGAAUGUCCCCGGCCCGGCUUGGCUCGGCUCAGCUUGA
rnacentral:rRNA from 1 species